CUUUAUAAGUGCUUCUAGCGAUAAAUAUUUUUUCAUUAAUUGUAUAAAUAACGACAGCUAAUAUUGACAUAUCCACACAUAUCCGAACAUAUACAAAAAAGUGAGUACUCAUAUAAACAUCAUUGCUGAUUACAAAGGAUUAGAGUAUCACAUUACCAAAAAUAUACCAAACCAAAUUGUAUGACAUUAUUUUUUUCAACUCCUAAAAGAGAGAAAAUAGAACUAUAGCAUAUACAAACAGCAACAUCUUUAAAAAAAUCCCUCGCAAAACGAAGUGGGUUCCUCUUGCACUUUAACUUGUAUGUUACUGCAUUACAUCAAUAAUUAGGGAAAAAGAUUAAAAACUUGCUGCAUCAAUUUGCUUGUGGAAGCCUUGAUAUUGCAUAAAACUUUAGUCAUGUAGAAACACACAAGAAUGCAGAGUAUUGUGCAGAAAUGCAGAAUGAUGUGCAAAAAUGCCGAAUGCUGUGCAGAGAUGAAGAACGCUUUACAGAAAUGCAGAAAACUGUACAAAAAUACAAUAAUACAGAAAUGCUGUCCAGAAUGCAAUAACACUGUAAACAUGAUGAAUAUUAUCUACAAAUGCAGAACGUUGUCUAGAAAGGCAGAACGCUACCCAGAACUACAGUUAUACUAGAAAUACAAUUCCAAGUUUAUUAAAAAUCUAUCUUAAUUUUUUUCUGUCCACAUCAUUGUAGUAUGUACAAUGUCUAAAAUGGGAUAGAUGAGAAAAAGAUAAAGAUAAGCCUAAUGUUCAUGAGAUCUAUAUGAAGAUUGCAUACAAUGUAAUUACAUAUAUUAAUCAUAGGUGGAGGUUGACUUAUGUCUCACAUAGGUAGGGCUAUCCUUCUCAAUUUCACUUGAGUGAAUUAGGGAUUGCCAUUGACAAUCUACCACAAAUAUAAUUUAUUUUGAGAAGAAAGAAUUUCAGUAGUAAGAGUAUGAAAGCUUUCUCUUUUGGGGAACCAUAUUAUCUCACAUAUAAGAUAUCAAUGACAAAAUUCUUUCCAUUUUUUUGCUGAGAAUGGUAACAUUUACACAAAAUUCUUUUCCUUUGUACUAUAAGAUCAUCUUCCAUUCUUUUUUCUAGCUUAUGAUAUUUGUAGUUUUGAGAUUUACUGGAGUUGGAAUCUAAUUUAUAAGUUUAGAAUGGAGUAACCAUGUAAAGUUAAUAGGAGUAAUAUUAAAUGGAAGGUCGGCAAAGAUAUGAUCACAUACCUAAAUAGUCAGAGAUAGGAAAUAAAUAGUUAGAGUGCAAAUGAUAAUGGGACAACUUAUAGUUGGACAUCUUGAUAUAAUAUCACUUCAUGCAUGUCAUUAAUUCGGAGAAGUUACAGAAAAAAAAACUUCAAAUGUAACCCAUGGAUAAGGAUUCAUAUUAGUAUCUUUCACUUUGGAUUGCUAAUGAAAAAAGCCUAUCAAUUAUACCUAAUAUAAUGAAAGCAUUUAACAUUCUUGAACUAAUAGCGAAAAAAAAGAGAAAUGACAUACCUGAAAUGGUAUUUAUCCUCACAAACAACAAUCACGAAGUAAAAAUGGUGAACCAAUGUCUGCACGAACAACAACAACUACCUCCUGGAAUUGCUGAGCAUCGACUUCAAAGAAAUUCAAGCAACUUGUGCUUUCAGGGAAUGUCGAGCAACUUCUGCCUUCUUCACCUUCACUUUCCUGAUAUGAGUUGAUUGCGAGACUCAAUGCAGAUAAAUUAUUGAACAAGUGAAGCAAUAAAAGAACAAAACAUAAACAAUCAUCUCCAAGAACUCACCAACAAAAAAAGAAAACAAUUUCCUUUUAGGGAGAAAAAAAAGAACAUAAUGAGAGAGGUAGAAUAAAAGUGUUAUUAUACCGAAUUAUUAUUUUGAGCUUUUCAUCAUAAAGUAAGAUAUGAAGAUGUGAUUUACUUCACAGAUACAAAUGCACAAUUCUAGAGGAGGAAAUUUAUUGCCAGGGAAGUAUUGUGAAACAUGAAACUUCUUUACUUGUUGCUUGUUACUCGAAACAUGUGAUAUUCAAUUGAUAUUUUUAUUGCAAGCUGUAUCAAGAGAAACUAAAGUUCUUAUUAUGUCUUUAGUAAGUUGAAAAAAAUAAGAUGCUAAAAGAUCACGUCUUUAAGCAAAUCUUACAUAUAGUCCAUUUCUACUUAAACCAAUAUUAUUCUUUUCCUUGAGGAUCUUCAACAGAGUAAGCAAUGUCCAAGAAACAUUAAGCACCGUCAAUAUACUCUUUGCUAUACCUAGUUAAAUCCAUCCAACACUUGGACGCAUCAUUUGAAAACCUAAAAUUCAUAUAUUGAUAAUAGAUAUUCAAGUAAAGACAAGAACUUUAUAGAAAUGUAAAAUCCCCUGUAUUUCAGUUCAACCAACUAGUGAUAAUUUUUUAAAAACCCAUUAUGUCUUCAUUGUAAUAUCUUCAGCCAUAACUGCAACGAAAAACACAUAGAUAAAGAGUAAUUUAUAGAAAAAUCAUACAUGACAAGGAAAAAGAGAUUACAACUUCCUAUAUUUGUACCUAUUUGUCCCUUCACCUCAUGUACCAAAUGAAUCCAUACUUAGGUCAACAAAACAACAAAAAUUAAAGAAAAUUGCAACUCUGGGUAGGUUUAAUCCAAAAUAACUAGACUCUGAUAAAAGAUAGUAUUGGGAAACAUUAAUAUUUUAAGAAGGAAUCAAAAAUACUUGAUAAGCACAAAGAAAAGCAGACCAAUACCAUCAAACCGAGAGACCAUUGGACAAUGAAACGAAUAUUCAAUUCCACUCAAUAGUUAAAACAUCAAGUUUAGCGAUUUGGCAUAAACUUACAAUAAGAAGGAAAUUCUUAUACGAGCAGUCGAUGUUAACGGAGGAGAUAGGCAGUAUUCUUAUUCAAAGAAGUUUACUCCAAGAUGGGCAAUCGCAAGAGACGGCGCCGUCAGUGAGCAGUUUUCUUCAUUCUUCCAAUUGAAACAAGAGUUUUUUUAUCCAAACUAUGGGUUUUCUUUUGGGGAUUGUGGGGUUGGGUUUGGGCAAAAAAAAGAGGGAAAAGGUUUGCGCCUGUUUUAUUUAAUAAAUUACUUUUUAACGACCGGAUAUUUUUC
rnacentral:lncRNA from 1 species